UACGAAGGGUGCUAGCGUUGUUCGGAAUUACUGGGCGUAAAGGGCGCGUAGGCGGCUCGACAAGUUGGAUGUGAAAGCCCAGGGCUCAACCCUGGAAUUGCAUUCAAGACUGUCUUGCUUGAAUUCGGUAGAGGUGAGUGGAAUUCCCAGUGUAGAGGUGAAAUUCGUAGAGAUUGGGAAGAACACCCGUGGCGAAGGCGGCUCACUGGACCGACAUUGACGCUGAGGCGCGAAAGCGUGGGGAUCAAACAGG
rnacentral:rRNA from 1 species